rnacentral:rRNA from 1 species
GAUGAACGCUGGCGGCGUGCCUAAUACAUGCAAGUCGAGCGACCGGACGAGAAGCUUGCUUUUCUGAUGUUAGCGGCGGACGGGUGAGUAACACGUGGAUAACCUACCUAUAAGACUGGGAUAACUUCGGGAAACCGGAGCUAAUACCGGAUAAUAUUUUGAACCGCAUGGUUCAAAAGUGAAAGACGGUCUUGCUGUCACUUAUAGAUGGAUCCGCGCUGCAUUAGCUAGUUGGUAAGGUAACGGCUUACCAAGGCAACGAUGCAUAGCCGACCUGAGAGGGUGAUCGGCCACACUGGAACUGAGACACGGUCCAGACUCCUACGGGAGGCAGCAGUAGGGAAUCUUCCGCAAUGGGCGAAAGCCUGACGGAGCAACGCCGCGUGAGUGAUGAAGGUCUUCGGAUCGUAAAACUCUGUUAUUAGGGAAGAACAUAUGUGUAAGUAACUGUGCACAUCUUGACGGUACCUAAUCAGAAAGCCACGGCUAACUACGUG